UCAAGUCUUUGAACGCAAGUUGCGCCCGAGGCCAAUCGGCUAAGGGCACGUCCGCCUGGGCGUCAAGCGUUGCAUCGCUUCGUGCCGCCACCACACACCAAUGUGCGUGGUCGUGCGGGCUCGAAUGCGAAGAGUGGUCCGCCGUGCUCAUCGGUGCG
rnacentral:rRNA from 1 species